rnacentral:tRNA from 1 species
GGUGGCUCAGUGGUAGAGCGCUUGCCUUGCAUGCAUGCAUGAGGCAGGCCCUGGGUUCGAUUCCUCAGCACCA